rnacentral:rRNA from 1 species
UGGGGAAUAUUGGACAAUGGGCGCAAGCCUGAUCCAGCAAUGCCGCGUGUGUGAAGAAGGCCUUCGGGUUGUAAAGCACUUUUAUCAGGAGCGAAAUACUAUCGGUUAAUAACCGGUGGGGCUGACGGUACCUGAGGAAUAAGCACCGGCUAACUACGUGCCAGCAGCCGCGGUAAUACGUAGGGUGCGAGCGUUAAUCGGAAUUACUGGGCGUAAAGCGUGCGCAGGCGGUUCUGAAAGUCAGCUGUGAAAGCCCCGGGCUUAACCUGGGAAUUGCGGUUGAAACUACAGGGCUAGAAUCUGGCAGAGGGGGGUGGAAUUCCACGUGUAGCAGUGAAAUGCGUAGAGAUGUGGAGGAACACCGAUGGCGAAGGCAGCCCCCUGGGCUAACACUGACGCUCAUGCACGAAAGCGUGGGGAGCAAAC